GCCUAACACAUGCAAGUCGAGCGGAAACGACACUAACAAUCCUUCGGGUGCGUUAAUGGGCGUCGAGCGGCGGACGGGUGAGUAAUGCCUAGGAAAUUGCCUUGAUGUGGGGGAUAACCAUUGGAAACGAUGGCUAAUACCGCAUAAUGCCUACGGGCCAAAGAGGGGGACCUUCGGGCCUCUCGCGUCAAGAUAUGCCUAGGUGGGAUUAGCUAGUUGGUGAGGUAAUGGCUCACCAAGGCGACGAUCCCUAGCUGGUCUGAGAGGAUGAUCAGCCACACUGGAACUGAGACACGGUCCAGACUCCUACGGGAGGCAGCAGUGGGGAAUAUUGCACAAUGGGCGAAAGCCUGAUGCAGCCAUGCCGCGUGUAUGAAGAAGGCCUUCGGGUUGUAAAGUACUUUCAGUUGUGAGGAAGGGGGUGUAGUUAAUAGCUGCAUNUCUUGNCGUUAGCAACAAAAGAAGCACC
rnacentral:rRNA from 1 species